GGUCGAUUAGCUCAGCGGUAGAGCACUGCAUUGACAUUGCAGGGGUCACAAGUUCGAACCUUGUAUCGACCACCA
rnacentral:tRNA from 3 species